AGCCGCCGGUAAUACGUAGGGUGCAAGCGUUAAUCGGAAUUACUGGGCGUAAAGCGUGCGCAGGCGGUUAUAUAAGACAGAUGUGAAAUCCCCGGGCUCAACCUGGGAACUGCAUUUGUGACUGUAUAGCUAGAGUACGGCAGAGGGGGAUGGAAUUCCGCGUGUAGCAGUGAAAUGCGUAGAUAUGCGGAGGAACACCGAUGGCGAAGGCAAUCCCCUGGGCCUGUACUGACGCUCAUGCACGAAAGCGUGGGGAGCAAACAGGAUUAGAUACCCGUGUAGUCCCUGUCUCUUAUACACA
rnacentral:rRNA from 1 species